CACGUAGGGGGCAAGCGUUGUCCGGAAUUAUUGGGCGUAAAGGGCUCGUAGGCGGUUCAGUUAGUCAGGUGUGAAAACUGGAGGCUCAACCUCGAGAUUGCAUCUGAUACUGCUGUGACUUGAGUCCGGUAGAGGAGCGUGGAAUUCCUGGUGUAGCGGUGAAAUGCGCAGAUAUCAGGAGGAACACCAAUGGCGAAGGCAGCGCUCUGGGCCGGUACUGACGCUGAGGAGCGAAAGCGUGGGGAGCGAACAGG
rnacentral:misc_RNA from 1 species